UACGUAGGGGGCUAGCGUUGUCCGGAAUCAUUGGGCGUAAAGCGCGUGUAGGCGGUUCGGUAAGUCCGCUGUGAAAGUCGGGGGCUCAACCCUCGGAUGCCGGUGGAUACUGUCGGACUAGAGUACGGAAGAGGCGAGUGGAAUUCCUGGUGUAGCGGUGAAAUGCGCAGAUAUCAGGAGGAACACCUAUAGCGAAGCAGCUCGCUGGGACGGUAGCUGACGCUGAGGCGCGAAAGCGUGGGGAGCGAACAGG
rnacentral:rRNA from 1 species